rfam:Enterococcus rivorum strain LMG 25899 19, whole genome shotgun sequence.
CUAGAAUCAGCUCCCAACAAAUGAAUGUGAUGAAGCAUUGUUGUGGAGC